rnacentral:rRNA from 1 species
GUCUAUGGCCAUGCUACCCUGAACAAGCCCGAUCCCAUCUGAUCUCGGAAGCUAAGCAGGGUCGGGUCUGGUUAGUACUUGGAUGGGAGACCACCUAGGAAGACCAGGUGCUGUAGGCG